rnacentral:rRNA from 1 species
UACGUAGGGUGCGAGCGUUAAUCGGAAUUACUGGGCGUAAAGCGUGCGCAGGCGGUUUUCCAAGACAGAUGUGAAAUCCCCGGGCUUAACCUGGGAAUGGCAUUUGGGACUGCAAGGCUUGAGUGCGGCAGAGGAGACUGGAAUUCCUGGUGUAGCAGUGAAAUGCGUAGAUAUCAGGAGGAACACCGGCGGCGAAGGCGGCGAUCUGGUCGAAUAUUGACACUCAUACACGAAAGCGUGGGGAUCAAACAGG